rnacentral:tRNA from 3 species
AUUCCUUUAGUAUCAACAAGUACAGCUGACUUCCAAUCAGCCAGUUUCGGUAGAAUCCGAAAAGGAAUA